rnacentral:rRNA from 1 species
UGCAGUCGAGCGAACAGACAGGAGCUUGCUCCUUUGACGUUAGCGGCGGACGGGUGAGUAACACGUGGGUAACCUACCUAUAAGACUGGGAUAACUUCGGGAAACCGGAGCUAAUACCGGAUAAUAUUUCGAACCGCAUGGUUCGAUAGUGAAAGAUGGUUUUGCUAUCACUUAUAGAUGGACCCGCGCCGUAUUAGCUAGUUGGUAAGAUAACGGCUUACCAAGGCGACGAUACGUAGCCGACCUGAGAGGGUGAUCGGCCACACUGGAACUGAGACACGGUCCAGACUCCUACGGGAGGCAGCAGUAGGGAAUCUUCCGCAAUGGGCGAAAGCCUGACGGAGCAACGCCGCGUGAGUGAUGAAGGUCUUCGGAUCGUAAAACUCUGUUAUUAGGGAAGAACAUACGUGUAAGUAACUGUGCACGUCUUGACGGUACCUAAUCAGAAAGCCACGGCUAACUACGUGCCAGCAGCCGCGGUAAUACGUAGGUGGCAAGCGUUAUCCGGAAUUAUUGGGCGUAAAGCGCGCGUAGGCGGUUUUUUAAGUCUGAUGUGAAAGCCCACGGCUCAACCGUGGAGGGUCAUUGGAAACUGGAAAACUUGAGUGCAGAAGAGGAAAGUGGAAUUCCAUGUGUAGCGGUGAAAUGCGCAGAGAUAUGGAGGAACACCAGUGGCGAAGGCGACUUUCUGGUCUGUAACUGACGCUGAUGUGCG